UCGACAGAAGGCUGCCUCCAGCCCCUGCACUCCCUUCCUCGGGCAACGUUGAGGAAGUCAUUCCCCCCGCCCUGUGAGGCAUUUACUGGACGCCUCCCUCACAAGUACUCCCACUGCCUACCCGGACGAGAGUGAGGUGCGUGUCCGCCCAUUCCGAGAGGCGAGAGAUGUAAUUCGUCGGCCCUCCUCCGCGCUGCUCCGCCAUAGCCCUUCAGUCGCUGGGGCCUGCCCUUUCCUUUCUUCGCACUUUCGUCUGCACCAGGUCGCAGUGCCGCUUACUGGAAGCUUGGCGGAGCUACGCUAUCACAAGGGACAAAAACCUCAGUCGACGCAGAAAAUGGAAAUGGACUGCCUUCAAGUCGAUCCCGACUUAUGGCGACCCUAUGAAUUGCGUUUUCAUUCAGAGGUGGUUUUACCAUUGCCUUCCUCUGAGGCUGAGAGGCAGUGACUGGCCCAAGGUCACCCAGUGAGCUUCAUGACUGUGUGGGGAUUUGAACCGGUCGUAGUCCAACACUCUAACCACUACACUACACAGAAAAGGGGCCAGCAUUUCUUUCCCUUUCCCCUUCUCCUUUAUGCUUUGCCAUAACACAGCUUGGAACAGAAUCCUAACCAUGUCUACACAGAAGUAAAUUCUACUGAACUCAAUGGGGCAAACUCUCAGGACCGUUCCCACAAGAGCCAGCUCAAACCCCGAGAUCAACUUCAGAGGCCCUUCUUUCUGUGCCACCACAUUCAUCCAAGUGUCUCAAAGUAGAGCCUUCCAACAUCCUACAUUCUGUUCCAACAUGAUCAAGAAACAGAAUUCACAGGCAAGAGUGUACAAAAGCUGGCUUGGUUCUCAGUGACUCCCACCUCGGUAAAGGGAAAAAAACUGCUUCUAACUCCAGAUAACAAGGGGAGAAGCCAGUGUUAAACGCAGAUGAUACAGCGGCAGCAUUUUCAAUUAAGAUAAUCUGGACAAAAUGAGUAUGCAGAAUUGCUAUCUGGCAUGGAGCAGCAGAUGCCAAAAGAACUGUAAAAGAACUUUAUAUUCUCAGUAGAUGUGCUAACAUUUGUUGUUAUAUGCCUUCAAGUCGAUUACGACAUGGUGACCCUAUGAAUCGACAACCUCCAAUAGCACCUGUUAUAAACCACCCUGUUCAGAUCUUGUAAAUUCAGGUCUGUGGCUUCCCUUAUGGAAUCAAUCCAUCUCUUGUUUGGUGUUCCUCUUUUUCUAUAGCAGCAUGUUUUCUUUACACACUGGCUUUCCAUCAAACAAACAUAUUAAGGUCAGACACCUACUAAAUAAAUGUGAACCCUCACAGUUGCGUAGAUGAUAUGGCAAUCCUGAAGACCAAUACCACACAUGUAAUUCUUUCAGCCAUUCUAUAAGAGAGGUCUACCCAAAGUGUCCCAUAUUAGACUAAACCAUUACCACACUACAUGUAAAAAGUUUCCAACCUGAAGAGUACAUAGAAGCAUGAAAAUGAGAUACAGUAUAAGGUACUCUUUGAGCUAUCUAUCAUUAUAUCCCCCUCAACAAAUGAUACCUGAAAGUGUUACAAUUCCUCUGGGUUGGGGAUGAAACCGCAAAUACUUGUUGCAGAAGGAAGCUGAUUCAAGAGCCAAAAACAAGACAUUUCCCAAGAAGUAGCCAGCUGUCUGGCCCACAGAGUUACAAGUGGAAGCAUAGCCCACAUUCUCCCGGGACAACAUAGUCAAUGCCCAGCCGUCUACAGCUAUGUCCUGAGUGGCUGCCAGGAACUCAAACAAGAAGAAGGUCACUGUAAGGGCCACCACAUCUGGGGUUUUGCCAUCUUUUUCCCCAAGCAAGGAGUCCACCUGCACAGAAAGGUACAUCAUAAAAAGCCCUAAGAUGUACUGAGUGGGCACAAGCCAUGACUUGCGGCGGCCAAAGCUCCUGAAGUACACAGCAUCCACCAAGGGGGCCCAAAGCAGCUUUAAACUGAAAGGCCAGAAGACAAAGCUGAAGAAAGCCUGGUCUGUGUAGCUAACAUUUUUGCUUUGCAAGAUGAGCGGAAUGCUGCCCGCAAGCCCCAGAGGAAUACCCUGCAGCACGUAGAGGAAGAGGAGCAGUAAGAUACUGCCGAGCUCUGCUCGAUAGCCUCGGGGAGUCCCAAGUGGUCUAACAUCUGGCUCUUGAAAAAGUGCCACUCUGUCACCUGCUCCAACCGUCUCAGCGUGGCCAUCUCCAUAAAAGUCCAGAGGUGGAGACUCACUUUUCAUCACAUCCAGCGAGUUCUGGUAGCUGCCAGGCCGGCGUUGCCGACUGCUGUCUUUGCAGGAGAUCGUUGGGGACAUGUCACACACGCAGUCCAACGCCGCCGUCCUGGGAAAAGGGAGGGGAUCCGUUCCCCACCAGCAAAUCCUUUAUAGCAGCCAAGUCGCUCCCAACAGCGCGGGGUAGUUCUGGAACAGCGGGAGGGUUGUCAGUUCGGCCCACUCUUCGCUCCUCUGUUUCCAGCCUAAGCGACUCCUCAGUGGCGAGUAUGCUAAGCCGGCUCGAAGUCAGAGGUUUCCUCACACCCCCUAAAAGGACAGAGAAAACGAGAAGAGGAGAGAGGUGCAAAUUCUCCACUUGUGGGCCACUCUUGCCUGUGCGAAGCGACGGGCCUCCUUCCGGAUCUUCACUGGGAAAGAAAGCAGCGCUCCAAAGACGGGGUCGCUUCUUCCUCGUUGCAGCCACCGACACAAAACCUCCGUCGUCCCGGCCGGGUCUCGAAAUCAAUCAGAAAUAUACUCCCCCACCCCAGGCCACGACCCGGCACAGUCCAACCCGUAAAAGCUUCCUGAAUGAAAACACAACCCGUCCCCGAAAGGUACCGCCAAAACAGCAAAAGGUCCUGGCAGCCGUGGGUCUAUCCUAUUGGCCGAACGGGAGUUACAUCUCUUAGAAGCUAUCCUAUCAGAGAUAAACAGAGAACGAGAGGGCGGAAAAGGAGGAUAAAGGAAGAAUAGAACGGCUCUUAUUGGGCAAGGGAUGACUGACUCAAUGAAACGAGUUACACUUCCUGUUCUCGACUGAGUUUAUUGGGGUUGUAGUUAGGUGCCCUCAAGUCGAUUAUGACUUAUGGCGACCCUAUGAAUCAGCGAUCUCCAGUAGCAUCUGUUAUAAACCAUCCUGUUCAGAUCUUAUAAGUUCAGGUCUGUGGCUUCCUUUAUGGAAUCAAUCCAUCUCUUGUUUGGUCUUCCUCUUUUUCUACUCCCUUCUGUUUUUCCCAGCAUUAUGGUCUUUUCUAAUGAAUCAUGCCUCCUCAUUAUGUGACCAAAGUAUAAUAACCUCAGUUUCAUCAUUUUAGCUUCUAGUGAUAGUUCUGAUUUAAUUCGUUCUAACACCCAAUUAUUUGCCGGUCCAUGGUAUCUGCAAAGCUCUCCUCCAACGCCACAUUUCAAACAAGUUGAUUUUUCUCUUAUCUGCUUUUUUUCACUAUCCAGCUUUCGUAUCCAUAGAGAUUGGGAAUACCAUGGUCUGAAUGAUCCUGACUUCGGUGUUCAGUGAUACAUCUUUGCAUUUGAGGACCAUUUCUAGUUCUCUCAUAGCUGCCCUCCCCAGUCCUAGCCUUCCUCUAGUUUCUUGACUAUUGUCUCCAUUUUGGUUAAUGACUGUGCCAAGGUAUUGAUAAUCCUUGACAAGUUCAAUGUCCUCAUUGUCAAACUGUAAAGUUACAUAAAUCCUCUGUUGUCAUUACUUUAGUCUUUUUGACGUUCAGCUGU